CCUACGGGUGGCAGCAGUGAGGAAUAUUGGUCAAUGGGCGCGAGCCUGAACCAGCCAAGUAGCGUGAAGGAUGACUGCCCUACGGGUUGUAAACUUCUUUUAUAAAGGAAUAAAGUGAGGCACGUGUGCCUUUUUGUAUGUACUUUAUGAAUAAGGAUCGGCUAACUCCGUGCCAGCAGCCGCGGUAAUACGGAGGAUCCGAGCGUUAUCCGGAUUUAUUGGGUUUAAAGGGAGCGUAGAUGGGUUGUUAAGUCAGUUGUGAAAGUUUGCGGCUCAACCGUAAAAUUGCAAUUGAUACUGGCAGUCUUGAGUACAGUUGAGGUAGGCGGAAUUCGUGGUGUAGCGGUGAAAUGCUUAGAUAUCACGAAGAACUCCGAUUGCGAAGGCGACUAUCUGGCACAUAACUGACGCUGAGGAGCGAAAGCGUGGGUAGCAAACAUGAUUAGAUACCCCAGUAGUC
rnacentral:rRNA from 1 species